CCUAUCAUGCAGUCGAGCGAACAGAGAAGGAGCUUGCUCCUUUGACGUUAGCGGCGGACGGGUGAGUAACACGUGGGCAACCUACCUUAUAGUUUGGGAUAACUCCGGGAAACCGGGGCUAAUACCGAAUAAUCUGUUUCACCUCAUGGUGAAAUAUUGAAAGACGGUUUCGGCUGUCGCUAUAGGAUGGGCCCGCGGCGCAUUAGCUAGUUGGUGAGGUAACGGCUCACCAAGGCGACGAUGCGUAGCCGACCUGAGAGGGUGAUCGGCCACACUGGGACUGAGACACGGCCCAGACUCCUACGGGAGGCAGCAGUAGGGAAUCUUCCACAAUGGGCGAAAGCCUGAUGGAGCAACGCCGCGUGAGUGAAGAAGGAUUUCGGUUCGUAAAACUCUGUUGUAAGGGAAGAACAAGUACAGUAGUAACUGGCUGUACCUUGACGGUACCUUAUUAGAAAGCCACGGCUAACUACGUGCCAGCAGCCGCGGUAAUACGUAGGUGGCAAGCGUUGUCCGGAAUUAUUGGGCGUAAAGCGCGCGCAGGUGGUUUCUUAAGUCUGAUGUGAAAGCCCACGGCUCAACCGUGGAGGGUCAUUGGAAACUGGGAGACUUGAGUGCAGAAGAGGAUAGUGGAAUUCCAAGUGUAGCGGUGAAAUGCGUAGAGAUUUGGAGGAACACCAGUGGCGAAGGCGACUAUCUGGUCUGUAACUGACACUGAGGCGCGAAAGCGUGGGGAGCAAACAGGAUUAGAUACCCUGGUAGUCCACGCCGUAAACGAUGAGUGCUAAGUGUUAGGGGGUUUCCGCCCCUUAGUGCUGCAGCUAACGCAUUAAGCACUCCGCCUGGGGAGUACGGUCGCAAGACUGAAACUCAAGGAAUUGACGGGGGCCCGCACAAGCGGUGGAGCAUGUGGGUUUAAUUCGAAGCAACGCGAAGAACCUUACCAGGUCUUGACAUCCCGUUGACCACUGUAGAGAUAUGGGUUUCCCCUUCGGGGCACGUGACAGUGUGCAUGAUGUCGUCAGCUCGUGUCGUGAGAUGUUGGUAGUCCCGCACCGAGCGCAACCAUGAUCUAGUUGCAUCAUUAGUUGCACUCUAAGGUGACUGGCGUGACUACGAGCAGUGGAUGACGUCAUCACUGCUAGACUGGCUACACGAGUCUACAUGGGACGAAC
rnacentral:rRNA from 1 species